UUUUUUUUUUUUUUCCAACAGAAAACAUCACUACCCACCCCUCUGCACUCAUGCACACAUAGGCUUAUUUUAUAGGUAAGAACAGUUCCCAGAAAAAACAGAGCUCCAUUGAAAUCUGGGUCCCAGAACUGCCUUGAGCCGCCCAGCUCUGGCGAGUCCCGCCCCCGCCGCCGCCGGCUCUGGUCAUCUGGGGCGUCCGCCCUUCCCCGCCAGGUGCAUCCUGAUCACCCCCUCAAAGCUGGGCUGCACCAAUUGCCCGCCGGUGUCCAAUCGCAGACUUGUGGUCCCCACGCUGGGCCUGCCAGAGUCCUUGUAACAACGUCACCUCGCCUGAGCCGAGCGGUCUUCAGGACCUCUGUCCCCUGCCCGUUCUGCUGGGGUGCCAACACCCAGCAACCAGGGGCUUCCCAGCCAGGCAGCCAGGGGUAGCCCCAAGCCCCACCUGAGCCUGCCCCACUCUCGGCCCUUUGCAAAUCCGGCAGGCCCUGCCCAGGGUCUCAAUAUAAAAGGCCAAGCUGGAGACAAGGAAGCCCUCGAGUCAGCAAGGAUCACCAAUGACCGGCUCCCCACAGAGAGGCCCGCUGUGGCAGUUCCCUCCUGGAGGGGUGGCCUGGACAUCAGCAUUCUGCAGGAGCACGUGCAUUCCAGAUAGUUCCUUUUCCUCUGAAAGGAGACAGGGCAGGCGAUGCCACAGCAGUGGGGGCGGACAGGACCACGGGGAAGGGAUGAAGAAAGAGGGAAUCGGGUUAUCUGGGAGUUGGUUGCAUCCAAGGUGAUGCCAGCAGGGCCCGUCUCCACGGGGUUUCCCUUCCCAGCAGGGAUCCGCCCCACACCGAGAAAUUUCCUGAAGCACCUGCAGACCCCACUCCAGCUAACCCUCCCCACAGUAAGCCAUGGCCCCAAACGCCGAGUCACCAAGUCGUCCGGAGAAGCCAAAGUCCAUGCCAGAAUAUUCCGCCCCAAAAUGACAAGCUCAGACACAAACUCAACAUUCAUUUUAAACCUUCUCCCCCGCGAAGCCAGGUGAACAGAACUCUGAAAUAAACGGGGCGCAGGCCAGGGGGCCUUGUCUGGCUUGGCCAAGAACUUGAAGCCACCCUGUUCGUUUUCAAAGGCCAAGCCUUCCAAAACUCCUUUCUCUUGCUUGCUUUUUUGGCCCCUAAUUACAAGAGAAAGUGCUUUUGAGAAAACAGUCAAAAACCUUCACAACAACAACAAAAAAAGUUACAAGGAACUACGUCUCAAAAGCUGCUUGGAAUAAAAAUUAUAACCUUGCCCAGCACUUGAGGGAAAACAAGGAACACAGAAGACAAUGAAUGGUCAAGGCCGAAUUCAGUGUCAACUGCCUUCCUCGCCCGCCUGAUGGGUCUGACCAGGAGCAGGGCCCCCAGACACCUGAAGGGUGGUGACUUGGAGGGAAAGGAAGGGCUGGGGCCGGGGUGCUGGCCAGAGCCUAGGCAGAGGGUCUGAAGGGUCCUGUCGACCACAGGGGGGACUCUGCAUCUGCUUUCCUGGGGCACCUCUUCUUUCUCAUCUGCAGGAGUCCCACAGAAAUGCGGAGCAGAGGGAGAAAAACAAGGCAGAGCCCACCUCUCCUCUCCGGCUGCGGUCCCCAGGGGCCCUGCAGAGAGGCGCCGCCAGCGGGCUCCCGCCCUGGGACGCGGCAGCAGUGCCCACCGGCCCCCUCCCUCCGGGUGACAGGAGCCCACGCGGCCGUGGUGGCCGCCUGGGGUCCAUCGGCUGAGCAGCGCAUCCGCAACCCGGGCGGCUCGGUCGGGUCGGGCGGGUCGGGCGGGGCAGGGGAUCCGACGGGUCCCGCACCAGCUCUGGAACCUGGGAGGCCUCGCGCGCCUCCUCCAGGCAGCCCCCGAAACCGGAGCAGGGCCGACGCAGGGCCAGGACCCGGCCGGGGGGCGUCAGGUCUGGGUCCUGGGGUCUCCAGCGUCGGCGAGCAUAGCCUGCGGCCGGGCCCACGUGGGCGGGCGUCCUGGAGUCUGGGUCCGGGGUCGGACCUGCAGCAGACAGGGAUCGGGUCCAAGCAAGAUCGGGCGUCCGAGUCUUGAGCCGCGUUGAAGCAUUCCCCUGGCUGCGGAGCAGCAAGUGACUUAAGAGUACAAGAUAAUAGAGCUUUUAAAGUAAUAUUUUGAGGUAGAGAAGCCCUGGGAAGUUCAGGAUGGGGGGCAACAAAUUUUUGUUUUCUGUCUUUCUUUCAAAAGAAGGCGCAUGAGAGUAGAAAUGAACGGCUAAGAUCUUCACCCAGAGACCACAGGGUAUCAUCUGGGUAGGAUGGAUCCAAGAUCCCUGUUCUCCAGAUAAGAAUCUGCAGGAUCUUUUAAAUUGCCCUGAAAAAACCAAGCAGUAGAAGCACAAAGCAUAAACUCAAAAUCAACGGAGUUUAACCAUGGGGGGUCGGGGGGAAGUUACCGGACCAAAUAUUCCAGAAGAACAAGAAUGCCUUUUUUUUCACUGCUUGAUGCGAUUGUUUAGGGGAGAAAAAUACUUCUUCUUAGACUCACACAAAAUCCUAGUUAAGAUUCGUGUGCCCAGUUUGCGCGAGUACAUAUAUUUGGUUAGGGAACCCAAACAGUGUUUGAUUAAUAAGCUAUCGAUGUGCAUCUCUCUUGUAAGAGAACGGAUAGUAUUUACAGACUCUACGUAUUUGUUGGCCUAACGAAUAUUUCUACUACGUGCCAUUUAUCCACAACUAUUGAAGGCCCAGGGGCCAUGUGUCUAUAGUUCUACGCUCAAGACUUUUAAAAUGAUUUUUCACUUGUUUAUACAAACCCUGCAUGUUUAGAGAAGGCACAGGGUAAUCUAAAAGACUGGUAAUUUUAGGGUAAAAUGUGAAGAUAGAUAUUUAAGAUCGAAUUGAAGCAGGAAAUAGAAAGUAUAAAUCAUUCACGUAUGAGAUAGGUGGAAAAAGGAAAAUUCACCUAUAUGCCAUUAUCCGGAAAAUAAUUUUCGAUUGCCUUUCCUUCCGAAGAGCGAGCAUGUGUGUACAAUUACAUAACUUAAUAACACUUACUCUUUGUGAAAUAUUGUAAUCCAUACUCCCCAUGCUGUGACCAACUCUUGUCAACAGCACCUCAACCGCGACGCGAUAUUCUGUUAUGUUGUGUGAUGAGGUACCCCAGCAUUCCUGAUUAUUUUUACGAUGAAUUUCAGUUCUUGCCAAUGGUUCUUUGCCGUACCUAACACUCCAGCCAGUGACCUUGCCUCGGACGUGUGUGUGCAACAUGGGUUGCUGAUACCUCUCGGAUGAUGGGUAGUGAAUCUGCUGUCGAAGCCACUGUGUUAUCCGAGGGAUGAAGGCAGACAUUGGCGACGCCAUUACGGCAGCAGGAAUGAACUUAGAAAGCCUGGACUUCGCAGUCGCUUCAGAAAGCAACAUGGAAAUCCGUUUGUUGGCCUCUCCAGAGCCCUGGUCAUGUGGAACUUUUGCCUGGGACCAGCCGAGACACAUGCCUGAUUGCAACACAGCCUGUGGGAAUUGCGCCCUAGCGCUAAUAUGCUGGCCAGAGCCACUUGGCACGAAGAGGGUUGAAGUCAGGACCAGCGAGCCGAACACCUUGGAAAUAUUAUCUCGACGGCUCUGACGAAACGUUGCAUGUCUGAGGAGUCAUCUCUGGCCCAAGCGGCUUUCUUUGCCGAGAAUUCAAACCUCAGGCCUGUUUUCACCACCUCCCCCUGGGCUGCAGGCUUCCUGCGGUUCUCCACCUCCUGGGCCCUGUCCUGCCCCGGGAAGCCCCAGCCUCACUCCUCGCCGUCUCCGCCGCUUGGGCACUGCGAGAUGCUGUGGGGUGUGCCCCUCGCUGCUGGUCAGCCUGGGCUCUGCCCCCGGGCCGUGCUGGCAGUCUGUCUGGCCUACCCCGACACGGCUUCUAGAAGAACAGAGGAAGGAGGCCGGGGCCCGAGGUCUUCUCCCCAAAAGCCCGGGCCUACGCUGGGCCUGCUUAGAGGGGUGGCCGCUGGGCCCCAGGAGACCAGAAGCCCCAAGUAGACAGGAGGCUUCAGCCAUAACACGCCACAGAGCAUCCCCCAAAGGUGAAGCUAUAAGAAUCGAGAAGGCAAGAUAGGCUGGAUUAACAACCAGAUCCUACUGUUUAGCACAGGGAGCUAUAUUCACUCUUAUGAUAAGCCGUGAUGGAAAAGAUUCCUUUAAAAAGACAUACAGAAUUUUGUUAUUUAAAAAAAAAAAAAAAAAGAAUCGACAAGGCAGAGAAGAAAGCCUUAAAGGAAGGAAAUAUGUGGACGUGUGACCAGAGCUUGAGCGGGGAGGGUGCCGAACAAUUUUUCUCCCUUAUUUGCAUUUUGCUGCCUUUUCUAAAUGCUCUGCAGUGAGCGCCUAUGGCUUUCGUAUCAGAAAGGGACCACGUUACUGAUAACAGCUAAGCUAUAAGUCAAGUCGAAUUCAUUUUAAGAAUAAGAUAAAUGCCUAUGACUAUUGAUGAGUUCAACAUAAACAAUAAGAACCAUAUACUUAUUGUCAGGAAAGUUAUUCAGAUGCUAACGCUCGUUCCCGAGUCUCUAGCACUUUACCCUUUAGAGAAACACUUUCAAAGAGAAAAUGAAACCGGCCAGCCUGGCUAUGCAAAUAUUAGCUGCCGUGGUGCUAUGCCUGCAACAAACCUUGACAGAACCCUGGGAAGGACACUUUUUUUUUUCUCAUCUUAAACCUGGGAAGCUCAGGAGUGGUGGAGCGCCCCAAGAUUGGACCGGGGACUCUGAGGCGCCCCGUCCCUAUGGCAGUUUCCAGACCUCCUGCCCUCGCACCUUCCUGCAAGGGAGACGUCUUCUCCAGCGAUCCAGUGUGCUUCCCGUGUUUCCAAUUUCUUUCCCCAUUUCUGGAGGCAGUACCCAUGGCCAGGGUGGCAUUGCAAUUAGUGAAGGUUGUGUUAGGUUUGCUGGAAAACAACCGUAUUUGCACGAGAGCUGCUUGUUCCUCUCUCUCUCUCUCUCUGUUUGUGUUUGUGUGUGUGUGCUACAGAGCAGUGGCCUGGCUGAGGUGUGACAGUGCCUCAUGGAGGCAGGGGCUGUCCUUUUUUUCACAGGAUGACAUUAUAGCUGAAUGCCACACUCCUCCUGGGAAGAAAAUGCAGGCAUGGCACAGUGACUCCCACUCCUGCAAACAGUGGCGGCCCCUCGGUGGCCUGAGUUGCCUGCAAAAGGGCUCUUGACGCCGUUUGUUGCAGCAACGUGCCUUUUCCUACCUUCCUUUGUGAAUGUGGGUCGCUUCCAGCCUCUUGAUAACAACGGAUGGGAACAGAGCAUCUGCGCAUCGAAUAUAUCUGAUCUUAAGGGUCUUUCUUUUAAAGUGAGUUAAAAGGCAAACUAGCGUUGCCGUUUUCUACUCUAAAAGGCAAUUUCUAUAUUUGGAUUUUGAAGGGGGAAAAAAAUUGUACUCCAGUGUGAAAACUCAGUGGCUCUCGGAAUGCCAGGAAGAUACACCCCUCUUUGGGCUAAAAUCCUCUGAACUGGUUUAAGAAUCAAUUGGAACAAAAGGACGUGAGCUGACCAUAAAUCUUCCAUCACAUAGUUUCUGAAGGCAGCAGCAGAAUGCACACAGACUCCGCGCGGUCCGCAGGACCGGCUGGGCCCAGAUGCUGCUUGGCGAUUUUUAACGGAGAGACACCGACCUCUCACGGAACAAACAGACCUGGGCUUUUUAUAUUCCCAAGACAGCCUCCAUUUAGAUAAGGAUGCAAUGGUAAAAUAAAUAGUGACACUCGGUAAUCAACAGGUAAAAUGAAUAAACUGAAGACACCUCUCACCUCUAAGCCAAAAAAAUGGGCCGGCGCUUGGAUUUUUAAGCUGUCGGGAGAGGGACACAUUUUCCAAGGGCCCUUUUUUUUUUAAUCUCCCUUCCCCACACAGGGCAGAGCAAAUCACCCCUGCCUCCUAAAAUAAAAACGCUUGCCACUUUAAUGCAGCAAAGGAAAGCAGAGAGCAUUUUUAAAUUAAAGGGGGAGGGGGAAACGGCUAACUGUGUUUUACACCUGGGGGGAGGGGGGCCGCUACCUUUUCCACGUGUUAACAAUUUAACUGUCACAUCCCAACAAACCACUAAUGCCAUCUCUGAGACGCUAGGAUGGCAACCUAGAAGAGGCGAUUUUAAUUGCAACUCCUAAGCAGCAAUGCUGACAGAAGUCCUGCUUUCAAUCCCCAGACAGGGCUGGGACAUGACUAAUUUAUUUUAUCUUAUCCAUCUUAUCUAUGCACAGGAUUGAAAUAUUUAUAUCAGUCUGUUCACUUUAAAACAGGCAGCGCAGGCACCAGCUUCGGGGCCACUCCUUCAUUUUUCACAGUUUUGGCUUUUCAUUGUUUCCAGAAACGCACAGCCCUUACAUGGCUGCUGGGAUCUUUAAGUCACACAAAACCCGGUCCUCGAGCGGCACAAAUGCUGCCUAGCUCUGGUGAUGGUGACGGAGCUGUUCCGAUGCCUCUGUCCCCAGAGAUGCCAAUGAAAUCAUCCAGGCCUGAGCCCGGCUUCUAGAGGAAGCUGGCCAGGGUGGCUGAUGGAAACCAGAGCCUGGGAAGGAUGCUCGGGCCAGGUGGCCAGGUACGCAGCGGGCAGCAGGGGGUUAAGCGGGGAGUGGGGAGGGGUGCGAACGAGAAGCCAGGGGCCGGGGAAACCGGGCCGCAGGGCCCAGCCCGAACAGGUGCAGACACAGGGAGCUCUGUCUGCCUGCCCGCUGCUGGGCACUGUGACUAACCGCCCCACUAUUGUACCCUGAAGCCAGCCCUUUGUACCGUCCCCCUGGCGUCUGGGAGCGCGGCCCAAGAACC
rnacentral:lncRNA from 1 species